UACGGAGGGGGCUAGCGUUGUUCGGAAUUACUGGGCGUAAAGCGCACGUAGGCGGCGAUUUAAGUCAGAGGUGAAAGCCCGGGGCUCAACCCCGGAAUAGCCUUUGAGACUGGAUUGCUAGAAUCUUGGAGAGGCGGGUGGAAUUCCGAGUGUAGAGGUGAAAUUCGUAGAUAUUCGGAAGAACACCAGUGGCGAAGGCGGCAUCCUGGACCGGCAUUGACGCUGAGGCGCGAAAGCUAGGGGAGCAAACGGG
rnacentral:rRNA from 1 species